GAUGAACGCUGGCGGCGUGCUUAACACAUGCAAGUCGAACGGAAAGGCCCAAGCUUGCUUGGGUGCUCGAGUGGCGAACGGGUGAGUAACACGUGGGUGAUCUGCCCUGCACUUUGGGAUAAGCCUGGGAAACUGGGUCUAAUACCGGAUAGGACCAUCGUUUAGUGUCGGUGGUGGAAAGUUUUUCGGUGUGGGAUGAGCUCGCGGCCUAUCAGCUUGUUGGUGGGGUAAUGGCUUACCAAGGCGUCGACGGGUAGCCGGCCUGAGAGGGUGUACGGCCACAUUGGGACUGAGAUACGGCCCAGACUCCUACGGGAGGCAGCAGUGGGGAAUAUUGCACAAUGGGCGCAAGCCUGAUGCAGCGACGCCGCGUGGGGGAUGACGGCCUUCGGGUUGUAAACUCCUUUCGCCAAGGACGAAGCGUUUUGUGACGGUACUUGGAGAAGAAGCACCGGCUAACUACGUG
rnacentral:rRNA from 1 species